UCCCCACUUGCGCCCCCUCGCUCUCUCUCUUGCCCACGCACUCGUCACCUCCUCCAGAUCCAUCGCCGAGCACGGUCGUUGCCGCUCGCCUCACUCUGCCAUGGCCAGCAGGCACAUCUCGCCUCGCCGUUGCGUCCACAAAGACCGCCGUCGUCCGCUGCGUCUACUAUGGAGACGAAACGAGCCGGAACCCCUUCCAUCGUUGAGCCGGCCCUCUGCUUCCACCUCCGGCCACCGAAGGCCGCCGCCGUCGUUCUGCUGCACCGAGCCUCCCCCGAGCCCGCUCAUGCACAUCUGCAGGUCCGCGGUGAGCAACAACGUCGAUCCCCCUUCUUCCCUGUCGUUUACCGUGCCUGUAGACCUCGUUGCCGUCAUGGUCGAACCUGCAACCGCCGACGAGCUUGCCGUCGUGGCCUCAGCCGCGGUCGCGUGCGCACGAGCUCACUGUCGAGCUCCUGCGAUUCCCAAGGAGCCCGACGUGCGCACGCACGCAGCCCCAUGAACCCCCCUUGCCCCCUGCGCUCGACCUCACCGAGCUCCAGCUUCGGCCGCCCCGGCCCCGUUCUGCGCGCUCACGCGUACGCCGUGCAGCGCCGCGCCCGCCGCCCAGCUCGUGUGCAUGCAGUUGCUGCUCUACUGAAUGUACUGCUGCUGCUGAAUGUGACUGUAGCUAUAUGGCUAGCUUUAGGAAUUUUACACUGACUAACCUCCUAGACAGCCUCUAAACUGCUGUUAAUUAACUGUUGACAAGACUAAAAUAAAUAUAGGUAGAAAGUACAGUUAACAAACUUCAUUUUACCCCACUAGACCAAAUCCAUUUGAUGUGUGGUUUAAAUGCUAUGAAAAUCACAAAUUGCUACCUUCGGUCAAUAGAGAACAUAAUUAACACCUAGCAUAGUGUGCUGCGUGUCGUGUGUGGUCUGUGCGUGUGUGCACAACCAGCCUCACGGCUGUGCCACCAGGCCGGCCCUUGUUUAGUUUAGUUGGUAAUACUUUAGUGCUCAAUUAGUAUAACAACAAAUGACAAGUGGUCCCCUCUGUUUAUUAGCUUUAGUUAGUUGUUCUAAAAAGGCUAAGUCUAUGAUAAAUGGGCCCCGCUGUUAAUUAAGCAAGGUUUCCUAAAACUACUAAACUUAGAGUCAAUGACAUGCGGGCCCACUUCUACUAUUCAUCGGUUGACUAGUCUCUGUUGACCUGGUCAACUGGGCCCUCUGGCCCCAUCUGUUAGCCACAUAUGCACAAUGUUGGGUACACUUCUGUGUACCCGUAGCAUUUACUGUAUAUUUUCAAAAUAAUAAUAAUUUUAAAAAUCAUUUAAAACUUUGAAAUUCAAUUUAAGAUAAUCCGUAAAUCGGAUGAAAAAGUUUUACACAUGAAAGUUGCUCAGAACGACGAGACGAAUCCGAGUACACUCUCCGUUCAUCUGUCACGUGCCCCUAUCAUAGAGAACAUGCAACUUUCCCCCUCCGUUUCAUCUGUCCGAAAAAUGCAAACUUCGGGAAAACAUUCCCGGAUGUUAUCCCCCUUCGCCGGUAACGUGUAGCACCACGUUAGAACGCAUCUAGCUCCGCCUGUUGUCCUGUUAUGCUCUUGCUUGCUAUGUAUUUACUGUUUCUCCCCCCUCUUCUCCCCGGUAGACCCUGAGACUGCCGCUGAUGCCGCUAUGUUCGAGUACAUCGACGACGACCCCUCCUUGCCAGAGCAACCAGGCAAGCCCCCCCUUUGAUCAUCCCGUUAUCGCCCAUUCCAUUCUCUCAUGCUUGCAUUAGAUUUUGCUAUUGUUAUUGUUUGCUCCUAUUCUGAUGCAUAGCCUCCUUUUUUAACCUGCUUAUUGUUACCUUACCGGCUUAUCCUAAACUGCUUAGUAUAGGUUGGUUAGUGAUCCAUCAGUGACCCCCACCUUGUCCUUGUUGCCCCUGCUUCAUCAUUGGAGACCCGAUCAACGGGAUCAAAGACCAGGCCCCGGCACCGCACAUCACUUUCCCCUUAGUUGCUCGACACUACUGGGAUACUAUCGAGUGCCGAGGGUGAGACCUCUACAACACUUCUGAUGUUAACCCUGUAGUGUAGCUAUUCGGUCGUGGUCAUCGAGGGUGAUUUCCUCUUUAACCACUUCCGAUACGACUCUGUCGUGCAACCCCUCAAGUGUGAACCUCGAGGGUGAUUCCUCUACGUUCACCUUGAUGAUUACAUUGAGUGGAACCCACCGAGGGUGAUUCCUUGGGUUUUCCUCUUGAUGUUUGGACACACGGAUACUUGGACUUUACAACUGUUACUUGGAAAGAGAUGUGGAGACGGGUUGACCUGGAAGGUGCCCGUGAGAUAAUUACGAGGCGUGGCCGGGCAUUCUUAGCCCUUGCCGCAAGUCCUCGAGACGGGGCAACGGGGUCACCUCUUUCGUGAGUCUCUGCUUGUUACCGCGCGUUCCUAAUCCACUACGAUUUGGAUAUUUGAUCCGAGGGGCCUCUGGCCUGAUAGCACUAACCAUCACGUGGGCAUAGUAUGGGCGUUCUGCGUCGUAUACAUCAGCCAAAGCUUAAUAGACGUCAGCGACUGAGUGGCGCGCGCCGGGUUGGACUGCGCAAGCGCCUGCCUUGUUGAAGGAGGUAGCUAGGUCUGCUCACCGGCCGCGUACGCAACGUGCAGGAGUUUCCGGGGAGAUGGCCCAUGACCCCUGGGGGCAUAGGUUUAGUCCGGCGUGCUGACCUCUCUGUUAAGUCUAGGUCGGGUUGCGGCGUAUUGUUUGGCCGAGGCCGGGCAUGACCCUGGAAAGUGUGUUCGGCCGGAGUCAAUCGAGCGUGGUGGGUAAGUUGGUGCACCCCUGCAGGGAAGAACUAAUCUAUGCAUAGCCUGUCCUACGGUAACGGACACUUGGAGUUGUAUCCCGAUCGAUACAACUAGAACUGGAUACUUGUGAUGAGAACUGGAUGGUGAUGAGGAUUUGAUUGAGAUGAUAAUUGGAUAGUAUGGCUCUGGGAUUGCUUUCUCGCAGGGAGUCGAGAAAGGAUCUCUGGCCGAGGUUGAUAACACUACUACUACUUUACCUUAUGCUACUCUACUCCCUCUUGUUUGCUGCAAGAUGGUGGUUUCCAGAAGAUGCUAGUCUUCGAUAGGACUAGACCUUCUCUCUAUUCUGGCAUUUCUGCAGCCCAGUCCACAUAUACAGCCUUCCUUUGAUAAUGUUGCAUAUGUAGUGUAGAUCCUUGCUUGCGAGUACUUUGGAUGAGUACUCACGGUUGCUUUGCUCCCCCUUUUCCCCCUUCUUUCUUCUUUCUGGUUGUUGCAACCAGAUGGUGGAGUUCAGGAGCCAGAUGCCACCUUUGACGACGGCUGCUACCCCGAGGGUGCCUACUACCACGUGACGGACGCCGACGACCAAGAGUAGUUAGGAGGCUCCCAGGCAGGAGGCCUUGCC
rnacentral:lncRNA from 1 species